CGAAACUUUUGUCAGUGACCGUAUUAACUGCUGUGUUUAUGUAUUUACACCUGACAUUUUUACUGCCAUAAGACUAAGAGAUGUUUCCUCUCAAAGGAAAGACACAGCAAUUCUGAGACGUGUUUCCAGCUUUGAAGCUCUUCAA